rnacentral:tRNA from 1 species
CAUGGCGCUGGCAGACGGCGCUGCCCGGCUAUGUGCUGGCCGUGGCGGUUGGCUCGGGGCUGCUCGUCACGG